rnacentral:rRNA from 1 species
CUGACCUCAAAUCAGGUAGGACUACCCGCUGAACUUAAGCAUAUCAAUAAGCGGAGGAAAAGAAACUAACAAGGAUUCCCCUAGUAACUGCGAGUGAAGCGGGAAAAGCUCAAAUUUAAAAUCUGGUGAUCCUUGUGGUCAUCCGAGUUGUAAUCUAGAGAAGUGUUAUCCGCGCUGGACUGUGUACAAGUCUCCUGGAACGGAGCGUCAUAGAGGGUGAGAAUCCCGUCUUUGACACAGAUUACCAGGGCUUAUGUGAUGCGCUCUCAAAGAGUCGAGUUGUUUGGGAAUGCAGCUCUAAAUGGGUGGUAAAUUCCAUCUAAAGCUAAAUAUUGGCGAGAGACCGAUAGCGAACAAGUACCGUGAGGGAAAGAUGAAAAGAACUUUGGAAAGAGAGUUAAACAGUACGUGAAAUUGUUGAAAGGGAAACGCUUGAAGUCAGUCGCGUUGACUGGGGAUCAACCUUGCUCUUUUGCUUGGUGUAUUUUCUGGUUGACGGGUCAGCAUCAAUUUUGACUAAUGGAUAAAGGUCAGUGGAAUGUAGCAUCUCCGGAUGUGUUAUAGCCAUUGGUCGCAUACAUUAGUUGGGAUUGAGGAACUCAGCACGCCGCAAGGCCGGGUUUUAAACCACGUUACGUGCUUAGGAUGCUGGCAUAAUGGCUUUAAUCGACCCGUCUUGAAACACGGACCAAGGAGUCUAACAUACCCGCGAGUGU